GGCCCGGUGGACUGGGGACAGCAAGGAGUCAUCAUGUCAGGUAGUCCUGGGGCAUGGUCCUAGGGCUCAGGUCCUCCGAGAGAGAGAAAGAAAGAGAGAAGGAGAGAAUUAGAGAACGCACACUUAGAUUCACACAGGACACCGAAUAGGACAGGAGAAGUACUCCAGAUAUAACAAACUGACCCUAGCCCCCCGACACAUAAACUACUGCAGCAUAAAUACUGGAGGCUGAGACAGGAGGGGUCAGGAGACACUGUGGCCCCAUCCGAGGACACCCCCGGACAGGGCCAAACAGGAAGGAUAUAACCCCACCCACUUUGCCAAAGCACAGCCCCCACACCACUAGAGGGAUAUCUUCAACCACCAACUUAACAUCCUGAGACAAGGCUGAUUAUAGCCCACAAAGAUCUCCGCCACGGCACAACCCAAGGGGGGGGGGCGCCAACCCAGACAGGAUGACCACAACAGUGAAUCAACCCACUCAGGUGACGCACCCCCUCCAGGGACUGCAUGAGAGAGCCCCAGUAAGCCAGUGACUCAGCCCCUGUAACAGGGUUAGAGGCAGAGAAUCCCAGUGGAAAGAGGGGAACCGGCCAGGCAGAGACAGCAAGGGCGGUUCAUUGCUCCAGAGCCUUUCCGUUCACCUUCCCACUCCUGGGCCAGACUACACUCAAUCAUAUGACCCACUGAAGAGAUGAGUCUUCAGUAAAGACUUAAAGGUUGAGACCGAGUUUGCGUCUCUGACAUGGGUAGGCAGACCGUUCCAUAAAAAUGGAGCUCUAUAGGAAAGACCUGCCUCCAGCUGUAUGCUUAAAAAUUCUAGGGACAAUUAGGAGGCCUGUGUCUUGUGACCGUAGCGUACGUGUAGGUAUGUACGGCAGGACCAAAUCAGAGAGAUAGGUAGGAGCAAGCCCAUGUAAUGCUUUGUAGGUUAGCAGUAAAACCUUGAAAUCAGCCCUUGCAUUGACAGGAAGCCAGUGUAGAGAGGCUAGCACUGGAGUAAUAUGAU